GCCGCGGUAGUGUAACCGGUAACACAGCCUGCAAAGCGUCGCGGGGACGCAGGCCAUGGCGGUUCGAAUCCACCUCGCGGCA
rnacentral:tRNA from 1 species